UACGGAGGGGGCUAGCGUUGUUCGGAAUUACUGGGCGUAAAGCGCGCGUAGGCGGUUUUUUAAGUCAGAGGUGAAAGCCCAGUGCUCAACACUGGAACUGCCUUUGAAACUGGAAAACUUGAAUCUUGGAGAGGUCAGUGGAAUUCCGAGUGUAGAGGUGAAAUUCGUAGAUAUUCGGAAGAACACCAGUGGCGAAGGCGACUGACUGGACAAGUAUUGACGCUGAGGUGCGAAAGCGUGGGGAGCAAACAGG
rnacentral:rRNA from 1 species